AUAGGUGGGAGGCUUUGAAGUGUGGACGCCAGUCUGCAUGGAGCCGACCUUGAAAUACCACCCUUUAAUGUUUGAUGUUCUAACGUUGACCCGUGAUCCGGGUUGCGGACAGUGUCUGGUGGGUAGUUUGACUGGGGCGGUCUCCUCCUAAAGAGUAACGGAGGAGCACGAAGGUUGGCUAAUCCUGGUCGGACAUCAGGAGGUUAGUGCAAUGGCAUAAGCCAGCUUGACUGCGAGCGUGACGGCGCGAGCAGGUGCGAAAGCAGGUCAUAGUGAUCCGGUGGUUCUGAAUGGAAGGGCCAUCGCUCAACGGAUAAAAGGUACUCCGGGGAUAACAGGCUGAUACCGCCCAAGAGUUCAUAUCGACGGCGGUGUUUGGCACCUCGAUGUCGGCUCAUCACAUCCUGGGGCUGAAGUAGGUCCCAAGGGUAUGGCUGUUCGCCAUUUAAAGUGGUACGCGAGCUGGGUUUAGAACGUCGUGAGACAGUUCGGUCCCUAUCUGCCGUGGGCGCUGGAGAACUGAGGGGGGCUGCUCCUAGUACGAGAGGACCGGAGUGGACGCAUCACUGGUGUUCGGGUUGUCAUGCCAAUGGCACUGCCCGGUAGCUAAAUGCGGAAGAGAUAAGUGCUGAAAGCAUCUAAGCACGAAACUUGCC
rnacentral:rRNA from 1 species